GAUGAACGCUAGCUACAGGCUUAACACAUGCAAGUCGAGGGGCAGCAUGACCUAGCAAUAGGUUGAUGGCGACCGGCGCACGGGUGAGUAACACGUAUCCAACCUACCGGUUAUUCCGGGAUAGCCUUUCGAAAGAAAGAUUAAUACCGGAUAGUAUAACGAGAAGGCAUCUUCUUGUUAUUAAAGAAUUUCGAUAACCGAUGGGGAUGCGUUCCAUUAGUUUGUUGGCGGGGUAACGGCCCACCAAGACAUCGAUGGAUAGGGGUUCUGAGAGGAAGGUCCCCCACAUUGGAACUGAGACACGGUCCAAACUCCUACGGGAGGCAGCAGUGAGGAAUAUUGGUCAAUGGACGAGAGUCUGAACCAGCCAAGUAGCGUGAAGGAUGACUGCCCUAUGGGUUGUAAACUUCUUUUAUAUGGGAAUAAAGUGAGCCACGUGUGGCUUUUUGUAUGUACCAUACGAAUAAGGAUCGGCUAACUCCGUGCCAGCAGCCGCGGUAAUACGGAGGAUCCGAGCGUUAUCCGGAUUUAUUGGGUUUAAAGGGAGCGUAGGCGGACUAUUAAGUCAGCUGUGAAAGUUUGCGGCUCAACCGUAAAAUUGCAGUUGAUACUGGUCGUCUUGAGUGCAGUAGAGGUAGGCGGAAUUCGUGGUGUAGCGGUGAAAUGCUUAGAUAUCACGAAGAACUCCGAUUGCGAAGGCAGCUUACUGGACUGUAACUGACGCUGAUGCUCGAAAGUGUGGGUAUCAAACAGGAUUAGAUACCCUGGUAGUCCACACAGUAACC
rnacentral:rRNA from 1 species